AAGGUUCAAUAUUUACAUGGAGUUCUGUGAGCGCUCAGAUCUUUUUAUACGACCACAAACUCUAUUUAUACAUAUUAAUAUAUAUGACAUUUUAUUUGCAUUUCCUACAAAUCCUGUGCUCAUCAUUUAUUUAAAUAAACAGAAACAUAAUCCAACAUCUUCUCUCUGUUAAAUGCUCUGUGGCUAAUGUUAGCAUAGUAACAGGCUAACAUGCUAAAGUCUUUAAUAUGAACACGCUAUCUGUAAACAUGCUGAAUAUUAGCAUUGUAGCAUAUUAACCCUUAAGUUCAUUGGGAAGCUAAUGUUAUGAAGGUCAAACUGCUCAGGUCCACAAAAUAAAAGCCCAGCCGGUCUCCCGUCUGUUCCAUCAGAGUAGAAACAGUAGAACAGAAUAGUUCCUCCUCGUUAUCUCUGAGUUGUGUUUAAUCUGAUUAACAUCAUCAUCAUCAUGGAGCCCUCCAGUCAUGAUAAUUAUAUCUGAGAUUAACAUUUACUCACAUCACAGAGCUGGACUGACCUCAAUAAUCCAGAUCACACAGACCUAGGACCUGGACCCUCAGACAAGAUCACAGAUAUCCAGGACCUGGUCCCUCAGACAAGAUCACAGAUAUCCAGGACCUGGACCCUCAUAACUUUGUUUCUGAUGAACAGUUUCAGUCAGAUCUGUUUUAAAUAUGAAUGUUUCCAACACAAAAACGGAAAAGUCCUUAAUUAUUCAUCAACGAUCCUCAGAAUAUUUAAAUAAUGAGCGUCUGAGGUCAUCAGGGUCCAGAAGAAGAGAUCUCGUCCCACAGAUGAUCUGUGGUGUUACUCUUCACUGUUGGUCUGAAUUAAUAAUGAUUUCUACGUACUGAUCCUUUGAUAUUGUGAUGUUUUACAGGCUGGAAGCCGUUCACUGCGGCUGUUAUCCUCUGUGUCCGAAGGCCUUAGUGUAUCCAGAGAUAUUCCCAGCAGAGUACCUGUAUUCCACACCUGAGCAGCUGUAUAAACGUCUGCAGACGCUCUGCAGGAGGCCCGAAAUCGCCCGCAGACACAUAGUCAAGGUGGACACCUCCUCCUUCUCCUGGACAUCACUGAAAGAGCGGUUUGAGACUCUCCUGUCAGCCGAGUGUCCCUGAACACACCGCCCUGCCUACAUUAGCUCUGGUGGUUCAGGUUCAGGUUCAGGUCUGACUCAGAGUCUGGACCCGUAAACGUCCUCUGGAGGACGACUGUGUUUUAUGUGGGGGGGGACUGAGGGGAGGCCAGACGGUGGUUUCUGUCUGCUGCUCCACCUGAGCUGCCACUACCAGGUCCAGGACCAGGUCAGGGUCUCCACUCAGACCAGACUGAAGUGGAUCUGCUCCAUCACACACUGACAAUAUGCUUCAUCAGCAAAACCUACAAUCUGAUAAAUGACUUUUGUGUUUCAUCAAAUAAAGUUUCAAUAAAACCA